rnacentral:tRNA from 1 species
GCAUUGGUGGUUCAGUAGUAAAAUUCCUGCCUUCCAUGCAGGAGGCCUGGGUUCGAGUUCUGGCCAAUGGA